rnacentral:lncRNA from 1 species
AUCUAAUUAAAUUAUAUUUAAUUAGACUUAAUCUCAGCCCAUUGGCUUAAUCAAAUUAAGUCAAUUAGCAAUCGAAUUGCUAAUCGAUCCUCCUGCAACACUUGCACUGGGUUAAAUGUCAAUCGUAUUGAUCAUUUAACCCUAGAAUGAUUCUUAAUCGUUGAUCAACUAUCCGAUCGGAUCAUGAACUCUAAUGUGUGUGACCUCAUAG